rnacentral:tmRNA from 1 species
GGGGGUGUACUGGUUUUCGACGGGAGAUGAAAGGCAUUGGACAGCAUGCCGAGGAUUAUCGGUUGGCCUCGUAAAUCAUCCGAUAAAAACUAUAAUUGCCGAAGAUCAUUCUUACGCAAUGGCUGCUUAAUUAAAAGCGGCAACUCGUCUGCGGAGCGCAUCCGUACGUAGCCGGGCAAAUUAGGAUGCUGGCUCUCAGAAUGAACCGGUCUGGGAGUAAGAUAAAGGUUCUGGUCUUCUCUGAAGCCUGUCUGUUGGCGUCAGUGGAGAUGAGAUUAAAAGGCAGACUAAGCAUGUAGCGGUUCAUGUUAAUUGUCCCUCGGACAGGGGUUCAAUUCCCCUCACCUCCACCA